CCUACGGGGGGCAGCAGUCGAGAAUCAUUCACAAUGGGGGAAACCCUGAUGGGGCGACGCCGCGUGGGGGAAUGAAGGUCUGCGGAUUGUAAACCCCUGUCAUGUGGGAGCAAAUUAAAAAGAUAGUACCACAAGAGGAAGAGACGGCUAACUCUGUGCCAGCAGCCGCGGUAAUACAGAGGUCUCAAGCGUUGUUCGGAAUCACUGGGCGUAAAGCGUGCGUAGGCGGUUUCGUAAGUCGUGUGUGAAAGGCGCGGGCUCAACCCGCGGACGGCACAUGAUACUGCGAGACUAGAGUGAUGGAGGGGGAACCGGAAUUCGCGGUGUAGCAGUGAAAUGCGUAGAUAUCGAGAGGAACACUCGUGGCGAAGGCGGGUUCCUGGACAUUAACUGACGCUGAGGCACGAAGGCCAGGGGAGCGAAAGGGAUUAGAUACCCCAGUAGUC
rnacentral:rRNA from 1 species